UAAUCGUAAGUAAAUUCAGGCUGUUGAGUUGAACGACGUUGCCUGACUGGUCGGGCUGGUUCUGGGUCUUCCGCAACCCAUUCGUUCUCUUCUUCUUCCGCGUCAUCAUUUUCUUCUUCUAAUCUCAAGUCGCGUCGUAGUUGUGUCUGUACCUGGUCUUUCAUCUAAAAACUAUGUUAGUUUUUCCAAAGCAGUGGAAAACAAACAGGAGCUUGCAAAUAUAGUAGGGAUUCCAAGCGAGGACCUGCCUUUUAUUUAUGUGUGUUUCCAUAACUGGAAAAUUCUUGGCGGGUGUAAGACUACACUCC
rnacentral:lncRNA from 1 species